rnacentral:rRNA from 1 species
GUGAGGAAUUUUCCGCAAUGGGCGAAAGCCUGACGGAGCAAUGCCGCGGGAAGGAUGAAGGCCUAUGGGUUGUAAACUUCUUUUCUUAGAGAAGAAUAUUGACGGUAUCUGAGGAAUAAGCAUCGACUAACUCUGUGCCAGCAGCCGCGGUAAGACAGAGGAUGCAAGCGUUAUCCGGAAUGAUUGGGCGUAAAGCGUCUGUAGGUGGCUUCAAAAGUCUCCUGUCAAAGAUCAGGGCUUAACCCUGGGCUGGCAGGGGAAACUCUGAGGCUAGAGUUUGGUAGGGGCAGAGGGAAUUCCCGGUGGAGCGAUGAAAUGCGUAGAGAUCGGGAGGAACACCAAAGGCGAAAGCACUCUGCUGGGCCACAACUGACACUGAGAGACGAAAGCGAGGGGAGCAAAAGGGAUUAGAUACCCUAGUAGUCC